CGCCAGCGAUAGUGCGUCAAGAAUUCGC
rnacentral:sRNA from 1 species